GGAUAAGAUAUAAAUCCAUAUUGAUAUAAGUAAAUAACUGGAUACAAAUAAAUGGGGAGACAGAACAGCUUUGACAGAAGAAUUCUAAUUAAUGGAUUUAGAAUGAAAGGGGGAAAAAGAACUUUGUCAUUUGGUAAACAGCACAGUAAUAACUAUUGCAGAUAGGUUCCACAGAUAUAUGCUAAAAUUAGUGGCUGAAAGUUUGAAGAGAAAUAGGAUAUUUGUAUAAUCUCAAAGUAUCUCCCUCAAGAUAUUUAUUAAUUAUAAAGGGAAAUGUAGUGACUUUACAAUGGAGAAGCUCAGAAGACACCCCCUUAACCAAGUGAUCAAGAUCAAGGUUAAUAUCGCCAGUAAAAAGACAUAACAAUAUCAUGAACUCAUUGAUAUGUUGAAGGACACAGCAUCACAUCUGAGGUAUUCUAACCAGAAGUGAAAAACUCGUUCUAAUCAUGAAAAAACAUCGGACAAACCAAAACUGAGGGAUACCCUUCAAAAGCGCCAAGUUCGUGAAAGAUGAGAAAAGACAGAGGAUCUGUCACAGAUUGGAGGAGGUUAAAGAUCCAUGACAACUAAAGGCAAUGUGGAAACCUCAGUUGGAUCCUGGACCAGAAAAAGUACAUUGGUGGAAAAACUGGCAAAAUUUAAUUAAAGUCUGUAGUUUAUAGUAUUGUGUCAAUGUUAAUUUCCUGCUUUUGAUGAUUGUACUAUCAUUUUCUAAGAUGUUAACAUUAGAGAAAGCUGGG
rnacentral:lncRNA from 1 species